rnacentral:lncRNA from 1 species
UCCCUUUUCCAUGAAGCAAUUUUCAUCAUCCGAAUCAUCUACAUCCGUCCAACAUCCUGAAGUUUUAUUGAUCUCGUUUUCUAAAAUCGUCAUGAAGCAUAUAUUUGAUAUCUCUUCAUGCCCUGAAUUAUCCUCAUCAUUCCAGCUUCCAAACGAUCCGUUCUUGUUGAAUCCUCUAGAGAUCAUUUUCUUUUGUUCUGGGCACUCCGUUUGGAUGUGUCCAACUUUCCUUCAGUCUUGUUUUGAUCGUUGUGUUGUCUAGAUCUUCUUGGUGCAAAUCGUCCUUUCCUUGUAUUUUUGUAUCUUCUCAUUAACCUGUCCAUGUUUCUAGACAUCAUAGCAAUUUCUUCUUGUACGGCUUCAGGAUCAUCA